rnacentral:rRNA from 1 species
AUNACAUAAUAACUUCACGAAUCGCAUGGCCUUGCGCCGGCGAUGGUUCAUUCAAAUUUCUGCCCUAUCAACUUUCGAUGGUAGGAUAGUGGCCUACCAUGGUGGCAACGGGUAACGGGGAAUUAGGGUUCGAUUCCGGAGAGGGAGCCUGAGAAACGGCUACCACAUCCAAGGAAGGCAGCAGGCGCGCAAAUUACCCAAUCCCGAUACGGGGAGGUAGUGACAAUAAAUACUGAUACAGGGGCUCUUUUGGGUCUUGUAAUUGGAAUGAGAACAAUCUAAAUCCCUUAACGAGGAACAAUUGGAGGGCAAGUCUGGUGCCAGCAGCCGCGGUAAUUCCAGCUCCAAUAGCGUAUAUUAAAGUUGUUGCAGUUAAAAAGCUCGUAGUUGAACCUUGGGCCCGUCCUGCCGGUCCGCCUCACCGCGAGUACUGGUCCGGAUGGGCCUUUCUUUCUGGGGAAUCCCAUGGCCUUCACUGGCUGUGGCGGGGAAC